rnacentral:snRNA from 1 species
GUUGCUUCUCGGCCUUUUGACUAAAAUCAAGUGUAGUAUCUGUUCUUAUCAGUUUAAAUAUUGGUUCACACACCAGACAUAUU